rfam:Bacteroides sp. CAG:530 genomic scaffold, scf97
UCCAUCGUGAGAUGGAAUCUGAAAGAAGCCGGCGGCAAACAUCUGGCCUGACGUACAGAAACUUCAUACAAGGCAUAUGGCCGUGGGUAAGGUCGCUACACAGGCCAAAGCCCGAUAACUAUUCGGAACGGUCGGUGUAAACGAAGUGGGUAUAAGACGGAAAGACAAUGCC